rnacentral:misc_RNA from 1 species
GAUGAAGAACGUAGCGAAAUGCGAUAGGUAGUGUGAAUUGCAGAUGUAACGUGAAUCAUCGAAUCUUUGAACGCAAAUUGCACUCUCUGGUAUUCCGGGGAGUAUGCCUGUUUGAGGGUCGCCAAAUCAACAUCGAAAUUCAUUUGCUUUUGUAAAUGUUUAUCGGAUUUGAGCCGUCUUUUAUUUUUUUAAUUAAAGUGGCUUAAAAUGUAUUUUUUGGUAUCGAAAAACGUUAUUUUACGAUCAAAUUGAUUAAAAAAACAAACGUUUCGAAUGCCGUCUUUUAAUGUAAUACGCUUGACUGUGGUGUUAAUCAUAGUUUCAUUCGUAUACGAUUUUUUAAUUUUUGACCUCAAAUCAGGUAAGAACACCCGCUGAACUUAAGCAUAUCAAUAAGCGUAGGA